rnacentral:rRNA from 1 species
UACGGAGGGUGCAAACGUUGCUCGGAAUCAUUGGGCGUAAAGCGCACGUAGGCGGCCUGAUAAGUCGGGUGUGAAAGCCCUGGGCUCAACCCAGGAAGUGCACUCGAAACUGUCAGGCUUGAAUAUGGAAGAGGGUCGCGGAAUUCCCGGUGUAGAGGUGAAAUUCGUAGAUAUCGGGAGGAACACCAGUGGCGAAGGCGGCGACCUGGGCCAAUAUUGACGCUGAGGUGCGAAAGCGUGGGUAGCAAACAGG